UACGAGGGGGGCAAGCGUUGUUCGGAAUUAUUGGGCGUAAAGGGUGCGUAGGCUGUGCGGUAAGUCACCUGUGAAAUCUCUGGGCUCAACCCAGAGCCUGCAGGCGAAACUGCCGUGCUGGAGUAUGGGAGAGGUGCGUGGAAUUCCCGGUGUAGCGGUGAAAUGCGUAGAUAUCGGAAGGAACACCCGUGGCGAAAGCGGCGCGCUGGACCACAACUGACGCUGAGGAACGAAAGCUAGGGGAGCAAACAGG
rnacentral:rRNA from 1 species